rnacentral:sRNA from 1 species
GUCCGGUCUGAUGUCUGGGCCACGCCAACACUGGGGGCAACAAAUUGCAUCGAUCAUAAUCAGCUAUAGGAUCAGUAAACAGAUCAGUGUGGCUCAGGCGUUACUCGCUUUCGGUUUCUUCCGGACGAACGGACGCUGAAUACGUAUUGUUUCUGUUGAUUGUUUACUCUCAGUCGAUUUAACGACACAAACUGAGAACUGUUAGCCCGGCAACAAUGUUGGGAGAGGGCAGAGGGGCAUUCGGACGAUACAAGUGUUCCAUUGCGCGUUGGCUUUACAGAAUUUCCCCAAUUGCGUUCUAAUUUCGCCCGUCUCUCGGCAGAAGGAUUCGAAAGAGCUACAGUUACCGUUCCCAGAAGGUGUGGCACCACAUAUGUACAUAUGUAUGCAUGUAUGCGUGACUAAUGUCGCAGGUGACGUGACGUCGAGGGACCUCCGGUCCCCAGAUUGGUUCGCCCAUGGAUGUAUGAAUUAUUAAUAGGACAAAAAUGUGUGUGGAUUCAAAAUUCUUUGCAAUUAUUUCGAUUCCCCCUCUCCCUCUCUCAACAGAGAGUCAAAUCAAUUAAAUUUGAUAUAAUUUGCCAACUGUUUUGGU